GCUGACAUGGCACAGGUGGUAGCGCACUUCAUUGGUAAUGAAGAGGUCGGCGGUUCAAGUCCGCUUGUCAGCU
rnacentral:tRNA from 1 species